GCAAAGAAGUUCAAGUCUUCGACUAGGUCUUCCACGGCCAAAUCGCAUGGCCUACCCAAUCUGCGUGAAUCGUCUUGCCGUUUAUAUGGCCAUUUUUGGGUAGACUCUUCAGAACAUUAUUGGCGGCUAUCAUCUUCAGUAACUAAUCUGAAUCCCUUCAAUUUCUGGUUUUCUUCAUUGACCUCCCCAAAUCACACACACAACGCACUAAUCUCGCUGAUUGUUUCGGUGAUACUGUCGAUGUAGGAGAUGUUAUUUACAAGGGGAGUGUCCCGUAUAUCGAGGACAUGUUACUGCCGGCGUCAAUGGGCGUUCUCUUCUUUACGUAAUAACGAGCAGCAAUUGGUCCAGCAUGACAACCAAUUUCUCUUCCCCUUGCGCUCUUCUGAGGAGGUUUGGCGUUUCAGAGCAAUUCAUUCUUUGGUUUCAAGUGCUCUAAGUGGUGUGGGACAACAAGCUCAUGAUCAAAGUAGUUCUGUAAUUGAGAUUUUAUUCCAGAUAGUUUAGCUGUGCUUUAUUGGUUCUAAAAUCCAUGGAACAGAGACAUUGUUGUUUUACCGUUCAAUUUCUGUCUCAGAAGCGAUUAGAUCCAUUUUCUCCAGUUGCCGAUGAAAGUCAAUUCUUGCGAAUAAUCUAAGGUCCAUGGUAAUUGCAGAGGUCCCAAAGCUCGCCACUGCUGCAGAGUACUUCUUCAAGAUGGGAGUAGAAGGAAAGAGAUUUCGACCGAUGGUGAGAUCUUCAUUUUCAAUUACGUGUCAUCAUGUUCGCGCUUCAUAGGAGAAGAGAGUCCAUAAAGUUCUAAUUUCUCAUUCAAGAUUUUCAUUUCCUGACAUCUAGGCUACAUUGCCUUAUUGAUUUUGGCUAAUCUUCUAUGCAUGUCUGGGAUUGUAUAUUUUUAUCUUCGAAAGGUUGACUAUUCAAUUGUUGGCAAUUUCAUCGUUUUGGUCACAAACAGGUGAAUGAGCCUUUCACAAA